UACGGAGGGGGCUAGCGUUGUCCGAAGUUACUGGGCGUAAAGCGCGCGUAGGCGGGUUGGUAAGUCCGCUGUGAAAGCCCGGAGCUUAACUCCGGAGGGUCGGUGGAUACUGCCAGUCUUGAAGGUGCUAGGGGGAGAUGGAAUUACCGGUGUAGCGGUGAAAUGCGUAGAUAUCGGUAGGAACACCAGUGGCGAAGGCGGUCUCCUGGGGCAUUCUUGACGCUGAGGCGCGAAAGCUGGGGAGCAAACGGG
rnacentral:rRNA from 1 species